rnacentral:rRNA from 1 species
CAGUAACGGCGAGUGAAGCGGCAACAGCUCAGAUUUGAAAUCUGGCCCUUACGGGGUCCGAGUUGUAAUCUGUAGAGGAUGCUUUUGGCGACGCGCCUUCCGAGUCCCCUGGAACGGGGCGCCAGAGAGGGUGAGAGCCCCGUAUGGUUGGACGCCGAACCUCUGUAAAGCUCCUUCGACGAGUCGAGUAGUUUGGGAAUGCUGCUCAAAAUGGGAGGUAAAUUUCUUCUAAAGCUAAAUACCGGCCAGAGACCGAUAGCGCACAAGUAGAGUGAUCGAAAGAUGAAAAGCACUUUGAAAAGAGGGUCAAAUAGCACGUGAAAUUGCUGAAAGGGAAGCGCUUGUGACCAGACUUGCGCCCGGUUGAUCAUCCAGCGUUCUCGCUGGUGCACUCUGCCGGGCUCAGGCCAGCAUCGGCUCUCCCAGGGGGAUAAAGGUCGCGGGAACGUAGCUCUCUCCGGGGAGUGUUAUAGCCCGUGGCGGAAUGCCCUUAGGGGGGGCCGAGGCCCGCGUUCGCAAGGAUGCUGGCGUAAUGGUCACCAGCGACCCGUCUUGAAACACGGACCAAGGAGUCAAGCAUUAGGGCGAGUCUUUGGGUGCAAAACCCGCAGGCGCAAUGAAAGUGAACGGAGGUGAGAGCUUCGGCGCAUCAUCGACCGAUCCUGAUGUUCUCGGAUGGAUUUGAGUAAGAGCCUUGCCGCUUGGGCCCGAAAGAUGGUGAACUAUGCCUGAAUAGGGUGAAGCCAGAGGAAACUCUGGUGGAGGCUCGCAGCGGUUCUGACGUGCAAAUCGAUCGUCA